rnacentral:rRNA from 1 species
AGUUUGAUCCUGGCUUCAGGAUGAACGCUUGGCGGCGUUGCCUAAUACAUGCCAAGUCCGAGCAGAAAUUAGAGACGCGUUUCGGACAAGUCAUCUUAAUGGAAAAGCGGCGGACGGGUGGGUAACGCGUAGGCAACCUGCCCUUAGCAGAGGAUAGCCAUUGGAAAACGAUGAUUAAAAACCUCAUAACGCUGAAGUAACACAUGUUACAUCAGCCAAAGAUUUAUCGGCUAAGGAUGGGGCCUGCGUCUGAUUAACUAGUUUGGUGAGGUAACGGCUCACCAAGGUGACGAUCAGUAGCCGACCUGAGAGGGUGAUCGGCCACAUUGGAACUGAGACACGGUCCAAACUUCUACGGAAGGCAGCAGUAAGGAAUCUUGCACAAUGGGGGAAACCCUGAUGCAGCAACGCCGCGUGAACGAUGAAGGCCUUCGGGUUGUAAAGUUCUGAUCUUGGGGAAGAAGAAAGUGACGGUACCCAAGGAGAAAGCCCCGGCUAAAUACGUGCCAGCCGCCGCGGUA